GAGGAACUUGUGGAGGAGAGUCGACUGUCUAUGCAAACUCUUAACAACCCUAAUGGAUGGAAAUAAGAAAAGGAUUUCCAGGUUUUAAUACUACACAGUUCGAAACAAAAUGGAAAAUGGAUAGUUAUUCUGGUAAGUGAAGACCUCUAGCUGUGAAUAAGUGCAUUCUUUCUCUUUCUGGGGAAGAAGGACCCACCUGUUUAAUUACUGACUAUUCCUCCUAAACCUGUUACUCUUGAGCACUAACCAGCAGGACCCUGACUUUGAAUUACAGAUCAUAAACAUCAUGAAUAGCCAUUUUGCAAUUAAUUAUAAACUCAAUAAUCACACUAGGCAAUUGAUAGCUAAAUUAACAGGUCUGUGUGAUGCUAAAAAUGCAAUUCAAUAUAAUUUCUACUCAAAACGUUUUGCAAGGACUCCUGGGUAUGGACAAGAGGAAAGACCAGUUGGAAAAGCUUUCCCCUCUCCUAUGUUUUAUCCAGUAGAAUCUACUUGGAUGGCAGUUCCGAGGACCACUUCAUGGUAUGGACCCUUCACAGGGCUACACUUCUGAGGUUCCCAACAGCAUCUGGUGCACUCGCAAUGGCUUUUUAUAUCAGUUCAUAGCUACCCAUCAGAGAGAUUGUAGAAUCAUCUAACCUGAUGUGUUGUGGGGUAAGUCGAUAUUCAGAGUUUUGCUUGCCUCCCAGGCGUUUACUCUCUCCUUCUUGGUGGAUCACGUCGUUAUCGUCCCUUCUGAAAGCAGCCCAAGCAACUCAUUCUCUGUUCAUCUUAAAUUUCGCUCUCCUGUCACAAUUUCACUUGCUUUUUUCCACCCGUGUUUCAACCUACCAUCUCCCCAUUUAUUGGUCCAUUUUCGAACAGAGUCCCUCCACAAGUUGUAUCUGAAUGAUGUCCCCAAACACCUCCCUUCUCUCCUCCACACUCCAGGAUAGUCUCUUGAGAUCACCAGUUGACUUCCAUGCUUUUAAACCUAUGAUGAGUCCUUCAUCCUCUGUUGUGGGUAGCCCUGGGGCUGUUUGUAUCUUGAUGCUAAUUCUGCUUCCCUAGGAGGGGCUGCCUGGGAUAAGGAGUGAAUCACAUACUCAGGUAACUUCAUCUUCUGCAUCUCAUCGAACUCAACUACCAACCAUGAAGCUUUCCCAGAGGCCAUUCUUUCUACUCCUGCCUUCCUGGCCCACAAUACUCCCACGGAAGAGAUCUGUUCACCUUUCCAGAUAUAUUGUCCAUGUGUUAAUUCUCUUUCAGGGAUGUUAUUGUCCCUCCUCAGGGUUGUAUCUGCUUCUCAGGGAACUACAUCAGUCUAAACACCAAUUAUCAAUGCAGUUCAAAUUUUUACCUAUGAAGAAGCUCCUCACCCAGGGUGAAUUAGUGGGAGCACGGCAAGGUGUUUGCAGAAGGAUUUACUAACACAAGGCCUAGCAGAACGCCUUUGCAUCACGUAGUGACUGCACUAAAACAGUCUGUUGUCAUUCUCCCUUCACCGUGCUGUGAAUAUCUAGAUGGUGAGAAUUAUAUCAGAUUCACAUUUAUGUCAUGAGUGUAUAGUGAGGCAACAGUUAUGUUUGGAGGCAUUGAACACAAAGUCACUGAGUUUCAUUGAUCUUUUAAAACCAGAACUCUUCUAGUAGAAGACUUCGGGUGGGGGUAGACUAUUCUGCCUCUCAGGGUGAUCCUUCAAGGCCUUUAUUUGCUAGGUCAUUGUUCAGAAAACAAGAUAAAAUCCUACAGACCUUUUCUUAGCAUUUAGAAUCUGUAUGUAGAUUUCAUAUACUUGUCCCCACAGCCUAUUCUGGUCCUAGUUGGUAGCAAUAAGCACUGACAUUCUUGGAAAUGCAGUUUGGCUAAGAAUGUUUUAUCAGUUUUUGUGACCAUAU
rnacentral:lncRNA from 1 species